rnacentral:rRNA from 1 species
GCCCCAGACUCCUACGGGAGGCAGCAGUGGGGAAUAUUGCACAAUGGGGGAAACCCUGAUGCAGCGACGCCGCGUGAGCGAUGAAGUAUUUCGGUCUGUAAAGCUCUAUCAGCAGGGAAGAAAAUGACGGUACCUGACUAAGAAGUCCCGGCUAACUACGUGCCAGCAGCCGCGGUAAUACGUAGGGGGCAAGCGUUAUCCGGAUUUACUGGGUGUAAAGGGAGCGUAGACGGCCAUUCAAGCCAGAUGUGAAAGCCCGGGGCUCAACCCCGGGACUGCAUUUGGAACUGUGUGGCUAGAGUGUCGGAGAGGCAGGCGGAAUUCCUGGUGUAGCGGUGAAAUGCGUAGAUAUUAGGAGGAACACCAGUGGCGAAGGCGGCCUGCUGGACGAUGACUGACGUUGAGGCUCGAAAGCGUGGGGAGCAAACAGGAUUAGAUACCCGUGUA